GAUGAACGCUGGCGGCGUGCUUAACACAUGCAAGUCGAACGGUAAGGCCCUUCGGGGUACACGAGUGGCGAACGGGUGAGUAACACGUGGGUGAUCUGCCCUGCACUUCGGGAUAAGCCUGGGAAACUGGGUCUAAUACCGGAUAGGACCCUGGGAUGCAUGUCCUGGGGUGGAAAGCUUUUGCGGUGUGGGAUGGGCCCGCGGCCUAUCAGCUUGUUGGUGGGGUGAUGGCCUACCAAGGCGACGACGGGUAGCCGGCCUGAGAGGGUGACCGGCCACACUGGGACUGAGACACGGCCCAGACUCCUACGGGAGGCAGCAGUGGGGAAUAUUGCACAAUGGGCGCAAGCCUGAUGCAGCGACGCCGCGUGAGGGAUGAAGGUCUUCGGAUUGUAAACCUCUUUCAGUAGGGACGAAGCGAAAGUGACGGUACCUAAAGAAGAAGCACCGGCUAACUACGUGCCAGCAGCCGCGGUAA
rnacentral:rRNA from 1 species